GCAUAUCAAUAAGCGGAGGAAAAGAAAAUAACAAUGAUUCCCUUAGUAACGGCGAGUGAAGGGGGAAAAGCUCAAAUUUUAAAUCUGCUAGGUUUUACUAAUCAGAAUUGUAAUUUGGAGAAGCGUUUUCCGCGUCUUGGUUGGCCCAAAUCCUUUGGGAUAAGGUAUCAUGGAGGGUGAGAAUCCCGUUCGGUUGACCUUAUGACGCUCUACGAUACGCUCUCUAAGAGUCGAGUUGUUUGGGAUUGCAGCUCAAAAUGGGAGGUAAAUUUCUCCUAAGGCUAAAUAUCGGCGAGAGACCGAUAGCGAACAAGUACCGUGAGGGAAAGAUGAAAAGAACUUUGAAAAGAGAGUAAAAUAGUACGUGAAAUUGUUGAAAGGGAAACGAUUGAAGUCAGUCGUACCGACGAGAAAUCAACUUAUCGUGUGCGAACU
rnacentral:rRNA from 1 species